GAUGAACGCUGGCGGCGUGCCUAAUACAUGCAAGUCGAGCGAACGGACGAGAAGCUUGCUUCUCUGAUGUUAGCGGCGGACGGGUGAGUAACACGUGGAUAACCUACCUAUAAGACUGGGAUAACUUCGGGAAACCGGAGCUAAUACCGGAUAAUAUUUUGAACCGGAUGGUUCAAAAGUGAAAGACGGUCUUGCUGUCACUUAUAGAUGGAUCCGCGCUGCAUUAGCUAGUUGGUAAGGUAACGGCUUACCAAGGCAACGAUGCAUAGCCGACCUGAGAGGGUGAUCGGCCACACUGGAACUGAGGCACGGUCCAGACUCCUACGGGAGGCAGCAGUAGGGAAUCUUCCGCAAUGGGCGAAAGCCUGACGGAGCAACGCCGCGUGAGUGAUGAAGGUCUUCGGAUCGUAAAACUCUGUUAUUAGGGAAGAACAUAUGUGUAAGUAACUGUGCACAUCUUGACGGUACCUAAUCAGAAAGCCACGGCUAACUACGUG
rnacentral:rRNA from 1 species